AGUGUCAAUCAAUCUGAAUGCCGUUUAUUAUUUAUCAAUCUAUCCAAACACAAUCCAUCCAUUUAUACGGUACGCAUCCGCAUAUCAUCGUGGAACGCACUUUAUGAAUUAUUAUACCAUUGUGAUAUUAUGUACUUACUCUGCACCGAAAUCCAGAGAUCAAAAAAGCGUGUUGUAGAUGCCACUCGAAAAUUCAGAAGACGAAAGAGAGUACUCGAGCAGACCUGGGUGGAGAUCGGGGUCUUGGUCUCUUGGAGAACCAGCCAACUGCAAGUAUCCAGCAUGCAGCAUCCAUGGCGACUGGCCAGGAGAAAGUAGGAGGACUGGCCGGAGGCGGACGAGGGCCGGCGCCCGGCGGCGAUGGCUAGGGCCGAUCGAGGACGAGCAGGCGAUUUGGGCGGCGUGCGUGGGGUGGGGAUCGGGGCAUCGGGCGAUGCGUGUGUGUUUGGGCGAUACAUAGGGCUAGGGCGUGGCUGGGAUCGGCCGAUCGAGGCACGUCAGCCACGCAUUUGUGGUCAGC
rnacentral:lncRNA from 1 species